CUCGUAGUUGGAUUUCUGGCAGGAGCGACCGGUCACACACUCUGUGUGUGAACUUGUGUUGUCUCUGGCCAUCCUCGGGGAGAUCCUGUUUGGCAUUAAGUUGUCGGGCAGGGGAUACCCGUCGUUUACUGUGAAAAAAUUAGAGUGUUUAAAGCAGGCUUAUGCCGUUGAAUAUAUUAGCAUGGAAUAAUAAGAUAGGACUUCGGAACUAUUUUGUUGGUUUGCGUUACGAAGUAAUGAUUAAUAGGGACAGUUGGGGGUAUUCGUAUUUCGUUGUCAGAGGUGAAAUUCUUGGAUUUCCGAAAGACGAACUACUGCGAAAGCAUUUACCAA
rnacentral:rRNA from 1 species